rnacentral:rRNA from 1 species
GGCCGGCUGCCUCCUCCCGGAUGAAGGGCCUUCGACGAGUCGAGUUGUUUGGGAAUGCAGCUCCAAGUGGGUGGUAAAUUUCAUCUAAAGCUAAAUACCGGCGGGAGACCGAUAGCGCACAAGUAGAGUGAUCGAAAGAUGAAAAGCACUUUGAAAAUAGAGUCAAAAAGUACGUGAAAUUGUUGAAAGGGAAGCGCUUGAGACCAGACUCAGGCCCUGGCAAACAUCGCGCCCCUCGGGGCCGUGCAAUUGCCCGGGCCUGGGCCAGCAUCAGUUGGCGUGGCGGGACAAAGGCGCGGGGAAUGUGGCUCCCCUCGGGGAGUGUUAUUAGGCCCGUGCUGGAUGCCGCCGACGCCGACUGAGGACCGCGCCUCGGCUAGGAUGCUGGCUUAAUGGCCUUCAGCGACCCGUCUUGAAACACGGACCAAGGAGUCUAACAUCUAUGCGAGUGUUUGGGCGCCAAACCCUUGCGCGGAAUGAAAGUGAGCGGAGGUGGGAACCCCCCUGCGGGGCGCACCAUCGACCGAUCCUGAUGUCUUCGGAUGGAUUUGAGUAGGA